rnacentral:lncRNA from 1 species
AUUCUUUUGCUCCGCUCCGUCCUGCCUGCUUCGGAGCUCUGCCUUCCAGCCGGGCUCGGCUGUGCUUUGUCCGGAGAUGGCGAGCGAAGGGAAGCCCCGGCCAGGCCAGGCCUGGCGGCUCCCGCUGGAGAUUGGGCGCGCUCCGUUCCCGGCGCCGCGGCAGCAGCUUUGCAACUCGCAACCUGGCUAAUUUCCUGCGUCCUCUGGCACCAGGAAAGAGGACAAUUCUUCUCUCGGGCUGCCCAAGCGACAGCUGUCAGAGGGGCAGGAGCUUCUGGGAGCCACCGUCUGAAGGUGAGACAUGUGGGGAGGAGAUAGGAGCAAAGGUGGUGAGGCGACAGCCGGCGGCGGUAGCGGUGGGAGAGGGCACCCAGGGAGGCUUUAAGAGGGGCAUACUCCCCCUUACCCAUACUCACCCAUUCACACUUGCCCCCAUCACACACUACAGCCCACACACGUCACACACACAGGCACACACGCGCGCACGCACACACACACACACACCACUCCCUUUCUCUCCCCUCCCUGGCUCGCCUUGGCAGUAAGUGCCCGCCUUCCUUCGGCCCUCCGUGGCACAGCGCCAAGGCACAGGGCAGCAUCCCUUGGGUCGUCUCUCUCCCCUUCCCUAGCGACCCCGUGAAGCCCAAAAGGAAGUGGCCCGGCACACUGUGUUCCCCGCCAGCCCUUUGGGUUUGGAUUUUUGUGUUUUCAUUCAUGGCCCUAUUUGGUUUUGUUGGAUUCCCCAACAAGAGGAGACCAUCCUUGACCUGGGAAGGUGGGAAGAGACAACAUAGGCGGCCCGGAAGGCAAAAGGGCCCGGACGGCCUACACGCGCUACCAGACCCUGGAGCUGGAGAAGGAGUUCCACUUCAACCGUUACCUGACCCGCAGAAGGAGGAUUGAAAUAGCACAUGCUCUUUGCCUCUCCGAGAGACAAAUUAAAAUCUGGUUCCAAAACCGGAGAAUGAAGUGGAAAAAAGAUAAUAAGCUGAAAAGCAUGAGCAUGGCCGCGGCAGGAGGGGCCUUCCGUCCCUGAGUAUCUGAGCGUUUAAAGUACUGAGCAGUAUUAGCGGAUCCCGCGUAGUGUCAGUACUAAGGUGACUUUCUGAAACUCCCUUGUGUUCCUUCUGUGAAGAAGCCCUGUUCUCGUUGCCCUAAUUCAUCUUUUAAUCAUGAGCCUGUUUAUUGCCAUUAUAGCGCCUGUAUAAGUAGAUCUGCUUUCUGUUCAUCUCUUUGUCCUGAAUGGCUUUGUCUUGAAAAAAAAUAGAUGUUUUAACUUAUUUAUAUGAAGCAAGCUGUGUUACUUGAAGUAACUAUAACAAAAAAAGAAAAGAGAAAAAAAAACACACAAAAAGUCCCCCUUCAAUCUCGUUUAGUGCCAAUGUUGUGUGUUGCACUCAAGUUGUUUAACUGUGCAUGUGCGUGGAAGUGUUCCUGUCUCAAUAGCUCCAAGCUGUUAAAGAUAUUUUUAUUCAAACUACCUAUAUUCCUUGUGUAAUUAAUGCUGUUGUAGAGGUGACUUGAUGAGACACAACUUGUUCGACGUGUAGUGACUAGUGACUCUGUGAUGAAAACUGUGACUCCAAGCGGUGUGUCCCUGCGUGCCUUUAUAGGACCCUUUGCACGAACUCUGGAAGUGGCUCUUAUAAGCGCAGCUUCAGUGAUGUAUGUUUUUGUGAACAAAGUUACAAAUAUUGUCCAAGUCUGGCUGUUUUAAGCAAACUGUGAUCAGCUUUUUUUUUUUUUUUUUUUUUUUUGUAUUUGUUUUUAAGGAAAAAAUACUGACUGGAACAAAAAAUAAACUUUCUAUUGUAAGUUCUCUUGGUCUGGUUUGUGCCAAAUAGUGAGCGGCUCUGUCUGCUUUUCUGUCUGUCUGUGCAGUCUUGGAAGCUGUUGGGUCUGAGGCUACCUGAGCAGAUGACCUGUGCAGGGAGACCUCAUACCAACACUGUCCCAUCGCUUCCCUACCUCUGACCCAUUGCAAAGUUCAGGGCAGAAGGUGGAAAAAGCUGUAGGCUGUUCCAAAGCCCCAGAACACCC